UACGUAGGGGGCAAGCGUUGUCCGGAUUUAUUGGGCGUAAAGAGCGUGUAGGCGGCCUGACAAGUCUGCUGUGAAAACUCGAGGCUCAACCUCGAGAUGUCGGCGGAAACUGUCUGGCUAGAGUCCGGAAGAGGAGAGUGGAAUUCCUGGUGUAGCGGUGAAAUGCGCAGAUAUCAGGAAGAACACCUAUGGCGAAGGCGGCUCUCUGGGACGGUACUGACGCUGAGACGCGAAAGCGUGGGGAGCGAACAGG
rnacentral:rRNA from 1 species